AGAGUUGAUCAUGGCUCAGAUUGAACGCUGGUCGGCAUGCCUAACACAUGCAAUGUUGACUCUGAUGCCGGGAGCUUGCUCUUGGAUUCAUCGGCGGUCGUGUCACCUAAUGCCUUGGUAUCUCCUCUGGUAGUGGCGGUCACCGUUUCGAAAGGGGCCCUAAUCCCUCAUACGUCGUUCGGGAGAAAUCAGGGGACCUUCGGGCCUUGCGCUAUCAGCAUGAGCCUAGGUCGGAUUAGCUUGUUGGUGAGGUAAUGGCUCUCCUAGGCGUCGAUCCGUAACUGGUCUGUGAGGAUGAUCAGUCACACCGGACCUGCGACACGGUCCAGGCUCCUACGGGAGGCUGC
rnacentral:rRNA from 1 species